rnacentral:lncRNA from 1 species
GGGGAGUUCUCUGUGUGCUCAGAGAGGGUCUCAGGAGGUCAGACAGCACGUCUAUGAGGUCAGGGUGUUACCAAAAUCAAAGUGGGUUCCCUCCUUGCGACUUAAGUUAGCAUGAGCACUCUUAAGGAGCCCCCAAGCUAUUUGUUUGGGAACCUAAAUCUUCCCCCCUCGGUUUGUCAUCCAGCCCUUGGCUAUCGGGGACCACUGCUAACGCUGUGUAAUAGCUUCCCUUACUUCAUCCAGGAUAAACCAGCGAUCUCCACUGAGCUCCUUGGAAGAUGGAAGUUAAAAUGAUUAACACUGCUGCAUUGGAAAUUAAUGACAUGAGAUUGUUCUUACACGUUUUUCACCGUAUUUUACAUAUGAGAUUUCAGUUUGAUUUGUGAUAUCCAAAAAGUGGACUUACUGGAGAACACUUAACAUUUUUGUGUCCACUAUUGGCUUGUAGAGCUUAUGGCUCUUUACUGUUGCAGGGAGGGUCUCUGAGCACUUCUCUCUACCAUUUGUUUUUAGUUUUGCAUGGUCUGGCCAUAUAUACUUUCGUUGGGCAGCUAAAGUAUGCAUAAAAUUUUGUGAGAAUUAUUUUAUAAUUAAAUUAUUAAGAACUUAAUUAAAUAUAACUAAAAUUAUUAUAUAAGAAUUCAAUGCUAACAUUAGGUGAAAUAAGAGUUUAACACAGAAAAUAAGGUACUUUAAGUCCCCUCUCCUAAAAAGGGGGGGUAAAUCACAAAGGCUUUGGUGUUUUCAGAGAAGAUAUGGCAUCCAUUUGUAGCUAGGAGCAUAAACAUUGCUUGAAUGUGUGAAAAUUAGUAAAAGGAAACCUCAUUUAAAUGGAAGUGGGAGGCAAGAAAGGGGGAGCCCUCCCACACUACCACUCACUGUCAGUUACAGACCCCAACAGGAAGAAUCCUCAGCUAUGGAUCGCAACAGGAAGAAACACACAUUGCAAGUAGACACUACUUUAUACUCCAGCAGGAGGAAGGAAGAUUUCCUUCCUUGCCCAGCAACUCAGCCAAGAAGAAAUCGUCACCACGCUGUACUCCUGCUUUCCUGCAGUGGACUUUCAUUCAAAAAAACCCCCUCCUUUUUUUCUAUAAAGUAACGUU